rnacentral:tRNA from 1 species
GGUAGUGGCUCAGUGGCAGAGCGCUUGCCUAGCAUGUGUGAGAUACUGGGUUCAAUUCUCAGAACCA